CGCCGCGUGAGGGACGACGGCCUUCGGGUUGUAAACCUCUUUUAGCAGGGAAGAAGCGAAAGUGACGGUACCUGCAGAAAAAGCGCCGGCUAACUACGUGCCAGCAGCCGCGGUAAUACGUAGGGCGCAAGCGUUAUCCGGAAUUAUUGGGCGUAAAGAGCUCGUAGGCGGUCUGUCGCGUCUGCUGUGAAAACUGGAGGCUCAACCUCCAGCCUGCAGUGGGUACGGGCAGACUAGAGUGCGGUAGGGGAGAUUGGAAUUCCUGGUGUAGCGGUGGAAUGCGCAGAUAUCAGGAGGAACACCGAUGGCGAAGGCAGAUCUCUGGGCCGUAACUGACGCUGAGGAGCGAAAGCGUGGGGAGCGAACAGGAUUAGAUACCCUGGUAGUCCACGCCGUAAACGUUGGGAACUAGAUGUGGGGUCCAUUCCACGGAUUCCGUGUCGCAGCUAACGCAUUAAGUGCCCCGCCUGGGGAGUACGGCCGCAAGGCUAAAACUCAAAGGAAUUGACGG
rnacentral:rRNA from 1 species